GACGAACGCUGGCGGCGUGCUUAACACAUGCAAGUCGAACGGAAAGGCCCUGCUUUGUGGGGUUCCUCGGGGGGCAACCGGGUAAUUAACCGGUGAUUACCCUGCCCUUGCCUUUGGGUUACCUUCAGGAACCUGGGGCUAAUACCGGAUAGGGCCCCCGGCGGCAUGUGGGGGGUGGGAAGGUUUCGGCGGUUGGGGAUGGACUCGCGGCUUAUCAGCUUGUUGGUGGGGUAGUGGCUUACCAAGGCUUUGACGGGUAGCCGGCCUGAGAGGGUGACCGGCCACAUUGGGACUGAGAUACGGCCCAGACUCCUACGGGAGGCAGCAGUGGGGAAUAUUGCACAAUGGGCGGAAGCCUGAUGCAGCAACGCCGCGUGCGGGAUGACGGCCUUCGGGUUGUAAACCGCUUUCGCCUGUGACGAAGCGUGAGUGACGGUAAUGGGUAAAGAAGCACCGGCUAACUACGUG
rnacentral:rRNA from 1 species